rnacentral:rRNA from 1 species
ACGUAGGGUGCGAGCGUUAAUCGGAAUUACUGGGCGUAAAGCGUGCGCAGGCGGUUCGUCAAGUCUGAUGUGAAAGCCCCGGGCUCAACCUGGGAAUGGCAUGGGAAACUGACGGGCUGGAGUAUGGCAGAGGGGGGUGGAAUUCCGCGUGUAGCAGUGAAAUGCGUAGAGAUGCGGAGGAACACCGAUGGCGAAGGCAGCCCCCUGGGCCAAUACCGACGCUCAGGCACGAAAGCGUGGGGAGCAAACAGGAUUAGAUACCCUGGUAGUCCACGCCCUAAACGAUGUCGACUGGGUGUUGGGAGAGAGAUCUCUUGGUACCGUAGCUAACGCGUGAAGUCGACCGCCUGGGGAGUACGGCCGCAAGGUUA